rnacentral:tRNA from 7 species
GGAAGGGUGGCCGAGCGGUUUAAGGCACCGGUCUUGAAAACCGGCGUGCGUGAGAGCGUACCGUGGGUUCGAAUCCCACCCCUUCCGCCA